rnacentral:rRNA from 1 species
AACGAACGCUGGCGGCGUGCCUAACACAUGCAAGUCGAACGUGAUUGAGAGCUUGCUCUCAUGAAAGUGGCGCACGGGUGAGUAACGCGUAGAUAAUCUACCUGAUGAUCCGGGAUAACACUUCGAAAGGGGUGCUAAUACCUGAUAAGCCCACGGAGUCUUCGGAUUCUGCGGGAAAAGGGGGGACCUUCGGGCCUUUCGUCAUCAGAUGAGUCUGCGUACCAUUAGCUAGUUGGUAGGGUAAAGGCCUACCAAGGCGACGAUGGUUAGCUGGUCUGAGAGGAUGAUCAGCCACACUGGAACUGAGACACGGUCCAGACUCCUACGGGUGCUG